UGCAAGUCGAGCGAACAGACGAGGAGCUUGCUCCUCUGACGUUAGCGGCGGACGGGUGAGUAACACGUGGGUAACCUACCUAUAAGACUGGGAUAACUCCGGGAAACCGGGGCUAAUACCGGAUAACACAUGAAACCGCAUGGUUUCAUGAUGAAAGACGGUUUUGCUGUCACUUAUAGAUGGACCCGCGGCGUAUUAGCUAGUUGGUAAGGUAACGGCUUACCAAGGCAACGAUACGUAGCCGACCUGAGAGGGUGAUCGGCCACACUGGAACUGAGACACGGUCCAGACUCCUACGGGAGGCAGCAGUAGGGAAUCUUCCGCAAUGGGCGAAAGCCUGACGGAGCAACGCCGCGUGAGUGAUGAAGGUCUUCGGAUCGUAAAACUCUGUUAUUAGGGAAGAACAAGGAUGUAAGUAACUAUGCAUCCCUUGACGGUACCUAAUCAGAAAGCCACGGCUAACUACGUGCCAGCAGCCGCGGUAAUACGUAGGUGGCAAGCGUUAUCCGGAAUUAUUGGGCGUAAAGCGCGCGUAGGCGGUUUUUUAAGUCUGAUGUGAAAGCCCACGGCUCAACCGUGGAGGGUCAUUGGAAACUGGAAAACUUGAGUGCAGAAGAGGAAAGUGGAAUUCCAUGUGUAGCGGUGAAAUGCGCAGAGAUAUGGAGGAACACCAGUGGCGAAGGCGACUUUCUGGUCUGCAACUGACGCUGAUGUGCGAAAGCGUGGGGAUCAAACAGGAUUAGAUACCCUGGUAGUCCACGCCGUAAACGAUGAGUGCUAAGUGUUAGGGGGUUUCCGCCCCUUAGUGCUGCAGCUAACGCAUUAAGCACUCCGCCUGGGGAGUACGGCCGCAAGGCUGAAACUCAAAGGAAUUGACGGGGACCCGCACAAGCGGUGGAGCAUGUGGUUUAAUUCGAAGCAACGCGAAGAACCUUACCAAAUCUUGACAUCCUUUGACAACUCUAGAGAUAGAGCUUUCCCCUUCGGGGGACAAAGUGACAGGUGGUGCAUGGUUGUCGUCAGCUCGUGUCGUGAGAUGUUGGGUUAAGUCCCGCAACGAGCGCAACCCUUAAGCUUAGUUGCCAGCAUUAAGUUGGGCACUCUAAGUUGACUGCCGGUGACAAACCGGAGGAAGGUGGGGAUGACGUCAAAUCAUCAUGCCCCUUAUGAUUUGGGCUACACACGUGCUACAAUGGACGGUACAAAGGGCAGCGAACCCGCGAGGUCAAGCAAAUCCCAUAAAGCCGUUCUCAGUUCGGAUUGUAGUCUGCAACUCGACUACA
rnacentral:rRNA from 1 species